rnacentral:rRNA from 1 species
GACGAACGCUGGCGGCGUGCCUAAUACAUGCAAGUCGAGCGAAGUUUUUCUGGUGCUUGCACUAGAAAAACUUAGCGGCGAACGGGUGAGUAACACGUAAAGAACCUGCCUCAUAGACUGGGACAACUAUUGGAAACGAUAGCUAAUACCGGAUAACAGUAUUUCUCGCAUGAGAGAUAUUUAAAAGUUGGUUAUGCUAACACUAUGAGAUGGCUUUGCGGUGCAUUAGCUAGUUGGUGGGGUAAAGGCCCACCAAGGCGACGAUGCAUAGCCGACCUGAGAGGGUGAUCGGCCACACUGGGACUGAGACACGGCCCAGACUCCUACGGGAGGCAGCAGUAGGGAAUCUUCCGCAAUGGGCGAAAGCCUGACGGAGCAACGCCGCGUGAGUGAAGAAGGAUUUCGGUUCGUAAAGCUCUGUUGUUAGGGAAGAAUGGAUAUGUAGUAACUAUACAUGUAAGAGACGGUACCUAACCAGAAAGCCACGGCUAACUACAUG